ensembl:ncRNA F20D1.16 ncRNA
CUUUUCAUACAUGUUUCUUAAUUUAUAAUGAGCAGUUGCAUUGUGACGAGCAGUAAUUAGGCGAGAUUUUCAAAUUCCUGACAGAAGGAGAGGAUUAGCCGCGCGCGAAAAACGGGUUGUUGUUCGGAGCGGUGUUG